UACGGGGGGGGCAAGCGUUGUUCGGAAUUACUGGGCGUAAAGGGCUCGUAGGCGGCCAACUAAGUCAUACGUGAAAUCCCUCGGCUUAACCGGGGAACUGCGUCUGAUACUGGAUGGCUUGAGUUCGGGAGAGGGAUGCGGAAUUCCAGGUGUAGCGGUGAAAUGCGUAGAUAUCUGGAGGAACACCGGUGGCGAAGGCAGCCCCCUGGGAUGGCACUGACGCUCAUGCACGAAAGCGUGGGGAGCAAACAGG
rnacentral:rRNA from 1 species